AGUGAACGCUGGCGGUAGGCCUAACACAUGCAAGUCGAACGGCAGCACAGUAAGAGCUUGCUCUUACGGGUGGCGAGUGGCGGACGGGUGAGGAAUACAUCGGAAUCUACUUUUUCGUGGGGGAUAACGUAGGGAAACUUACGCUAAUACCGCAUACGACCUACGGGUGAAAGCAGGGGAUCUUCGGACCUUGCGCGAUUGAAUGAGCCGAUGUCGGAUUCGCUAGUUGGCGGGGUAAAGGCCAACCAAGGCGACGAUCCGUAGCUGGUCUGAGAGGAUGAUCAGCCACACUGGAACUGAGACACGGUCCAGACUCCUACGGGAGGCAGCAGUGGGGAAUAUUGGACAAUGGGCGCAAGCCUGAUCCAGCCAUACCGCGUGGGUGAAGAAGGCCUUCGGGUUGUAAAGCCCUUUUGUUGGGAAAGAAAAGCAGCAGGUUAAUACCCCGCUGUUCUGACGGUACCCAAAGAAUAAGCACCGGCUAACUUCGUG
rnacentral:rRNA from 1 species